AUGGCAUCAAGCCACACGCCUGUUUCCAGGAAACAUGAUGGGCAAACACAGAGGGCGUGCAGGUCAAAGAUACCAAAUUCAAGGUCUUCGGCAGCAUCCAGAUCUUUGCCUGGUCCUGCAACCAUUCAAGUCAUGGAGAGGAAUCUUUUGAUUGGUUUCCUAAUGAUAUUCCCUGCAUACAGUUCCUCACAGAUUACCCUCACACAGUCCGGCAAUGGGCUGAAAAGACCUGGAGAGACUCUGCAGCUGACCUGUACAGUGUCUGGAUUUUCUCUAACAAGCAAUGGUGUGCACUGGUUCCAUCAGCCUCCUGGAAAAGGGCUGGAGUGGACUGGACGAAUGGGGUAUGAUGGAAGCAAUAACUAUAACUCUGCUCUCCAAAACCGGAUCACCAUCACAAGGGACAUCUCAAAAAGCCAGGUGUCCCUGCAACUGAGGGCCCUAAAGCCUGAAGACUCUGCCAUGUACUAUUGUGCAAGAGGCACAGUGAGACAACCCAACUCGGGGCUGCACAAAAACCACCCCAACUGA